rnacentral:rRNA from 1 species
GACCCGGGCAGAGUUUUCUGUUCUGCAUAAGCGUUCGAGUUCCCUGGAAUCCUCUAACAGGGAGAUAGGGUUUGGAACGCGAAGAGCACCGCAGUUGCGGCGGUGUCCGUGUCGUCCCCUCGGACCUUGAAAAUCCGGGAGAGGGUCACGCGGAGGUGUCGCGCCGGCUCGUACCCAUAUUCGCAGCACGUC